rnacentral:rRNA from 1 species
ACUUCGUUCCCUUCGGGCUAUUUACAAGGUGCUGCAUGGUUGUCGUCAGCUCGUGCCGUGAGGUGUCGGUUAGGUCCCAUAACGAGCGCAACCCUUACUGUUAGUUGCCAGCGGGUCAAGCCGGGAACUCUAACGGGACUGCCACCGUAAGGUGAGAGGAAGGUGGGGAUGACGUCAAAUCAGCACGGCCCUUAUGUCCAGGGCUACACACGUGUUACAAUGGUCGGUACAAAGGGCAGCUACACCGCGAGGUGAUGCUAAUCUCUAAAGCCGGUCUCAGUUCGGAUCGAAGUCUGCAACCCGACUUCGUGAAGUUGGAUUCGCUAGUAAUCGCGCAUCAGCCAUGGCGCGGUGAAUACGUUCCCGGGCCUU